GACCUGCGGAGGAUCAUUAGCGUAUGAGCGAGGGUCGCCCGUCCAUCGACCGCGCCCGCAGCUCCAUCCCGUGCCUACCUGCCUUCGUUGCUUUGGCGGGCCUCGGGGGCCCUCGUGCCCCCCCGUCCCUCGCGGACGCGUGCCCGCCGGAGACCCCGUCCAACCCCGUCGAUCCAGUGACGUCCGAGCAGCGACGAAUCCAUCAAAACUUUCAACAACGGAUCUCUUGGUUCUGGCAUCGAUGAAGAACGCAGCGAAAUGCGAUAAGUAAUGUGAAUUGCAGAAUUCAGUGAAUCAUCGAAUCUUUGAACGCACAUUGCGCCCUCCGGUAUUCCGGGGGGCAUGCCUGUUCGAGCGUCAGUACACUCCCUCGAGCCCGGCUCGGUCUUGGGGAGACGCCCCCGCGGGGGCGCCCCCGAAAAGCAGCGGCGACGCGGUCGGUCCUCAAGCGCUCUCACACCUGUCGUGUCGCUUCGAUGGCCCGGACGCGUCCGCCGGACAACCCGCACGCUCCCCGAUUGACCUCGGAUCAGGUAGGGAU
rnacentral:rRNA from 1 species